GACGAACGCUGACGGCGUGCUUAACACAUGCAAGUCGAAGGGAGUGGCGAACGGGUGAGUAACACGUGAGUAACCUGCCCUUUUCUUUGGGAUAAGCCUGGGAAACUGGGUCUCAUACUGGAUUGAUUGGGAUGGGCUUGCGGCUUAUCAGCUUGUUGGUGGGGUUCUGGCUUACAAAGGGCUUGACGGGUAGCCGGCCUGAGAGGGUGGUCGGUCACACUGGGAAUGAGAUAGGGAGUAGGAUGCUAGAGGAGGCAGCAGUGGGGGAUGUUGCACAAUGGACGAAAGUGGGAAGCAGCGACGGGUUGUCGGGAAUGAAUGCCUUCGCGUUGUAAACUCCUUUCGCACGCGAUAUGGAAGUUGGUAAAGAAGCGCCGGCUAAUGACGUGCCAGCAGCCGCGGUAAUAC
rnacentral:rRNA from 1 species